rnacentral:rRNA from 1 species
GAUGAACGCUGGCGGCGUGCCUAAUACAUGCAAGUCGAGCGAACAGACGAGGAGCUUGCUCCUCUGACGUUAGCGGCGGACGGGUGAGUAACACGUGGAUAACCUACCUAUAAGACUGGGAUAACUUCGGGAAACCGGAGCUAAUACCGGAUAAUAUAUUGAACCGCAUGGUUCAAUAGUGAAAGACGGUUUUGCUGUCACUUCUAGCUGGAUCCCCGCCGCAUUAGCUAGUUGGUAAGGUAACGGCUUACCAAGGCAACGAUGCGUAGCCGACCUGAGAGGGGGGUCGGCGACACUGGAACUGAGACACGGUCCAGACUCCUACGGGAGGCAGCAGUAGGGAAUCUUCCGCAAUGGGCGAAAGCUUGACGGAGCAACGCCGCGUGAGUGAUGAAGGUCUUCGGAUCGUAAAACUCUGUUAUUAGGGAAGAACAAAUGUGUAAGUAACUAUGCACGUCUUGACGGUACCUAAUCAGAAAGCCACGGCUAACUACGUG